AUUGCUUCUCGGCCUUUUGGCUAAGAUCAAGUGUAGUACUGGGCCUUUUGGCUAGGUACAAAAACACUUGGUCCUCUGGCUGGCAAGAUCAAGGGGUAGUAUCUGUUCUUAUGAUCUUAUGUGAAGAACGGAGAAACACUU
rnacentral:snRNA from 1 species